rnacentral:tRNA from 1 species
UGGGGAUUAGUGUAACGGUAGCACGACUGGCUCUGGACCAGUUAGUUGGGGUUCGAAUCCCUAAUCCCCAG